rnacentral:rRNA from 1 species
UACGGGGGGAGCAAGCGUUGUUCGGAAUUACUGGGCGUAAAGGGCGCGUAGGCGGCCAACUAAGUCGGACGUGAAAUCCCUCGGCUUAACUGGGGAACUGCGUCCGAUACUGGAUGGCUUGGAUUUGGGAGAGGGAUGCGGAAUUCCAGGUGUAGCGGUGAAAUGCGUAGAUAUCUGGAGGAACACCGGUGGCGAAGGCGGCAUCCUGGACCAAUAUUGACGCUGAGGAGCGAAAGCUAGGGGAGCAAACAGG